GGGUUGUGAGGUUAAGCGACUAAGCGUACACGGUGGAUGCCCUGGCAGUCAGAGGCGAUGAAGGACGUGCUAAUCUGCGAUAAGCGCCGGUAAGGUGAUAUGAACCGUUAUAACCGGCGAUUUCCGAAUGGGGAAACCCAGUGUGACUCGUCACACUAUCAUUAACUGAAUCCAUAGGUUAAUGAGGCGAACCGGGGGAACUGAAACAUCUAAGUACCCCGAGGAAAAGAAAUCAACCGAGAUUCCCCCAGUAGCGGCGAGCGAACGGGGAGGAGCCCAGAGCCUGAAUCAGCAUGUGUGUUAGUGGAAGCGUCUGGAAAGGCGCGCGAUACAGGGUGACAGCCCCGUACACAAAAGCGCAUGUGCUGUGAGCUCGAUGAGUAGGGCGGGACACGUGGUAUCCUGUCUGAAUAUGGGGGGACCAUCCUCCAAGGCUAAAUACUCCUGACUGACCGAUAGUGAACCAGUACCGUGAGGGAAAGGCGAAAAGAACCCCGGCGAGGGGAGUGAAAAAGAACCUGAAACCGUGUACGUACAAGCAGUGGGAGCACCCUUCGGGGUGUGACUGCGUACCUUUUGUAUAAUGGGUCAGCGACUUAUAUUCUGUAGCAAGGUUAACCGAAUAGGGGAGCCGGAGGGAAACCGAGUCUUAAUUGGGCGUUAAGUUGCAGGGUAUAGACCCGAAACCCGGUGAUCUAGCCAUGGGCAGGUUGAAGGUUGGGUAACACUAACUGGAGGACCGAACCGACUAAUGUUGAAAAAUUAGCGGAUGACCUGUGGCUGGGGGUGAAAGGCCAAUCAAACCGGGAGAUAGCUGGUUCUCCCCGAAAGCUAUUUAGGUAGCGCCUCGUGAAUUCAUCUCCGGGGGUAGAGCACUGUUUCGGCUAGGGGGCCAUCCCGGCUUACCAACCCGAUGCAAACUGCGAAUACCGGAGAAUGUUAUCACGGGAGACACACGGCGGGUGCUAACGUCCGUCGUGAAGAGGGAAACAACCCAGACCGCCAGCUAAGGUCCCAAAGUCAUGGUUAAGUGGGAAACGAUGUGGGAAGGCCCAGACAGCCAGGAUGUUGGCUUAGAAGCAGCCAUCAUUUAAAGAAAGCGUAAUAGCUCACUGGUCGAGUCGGCCUGCGCGGAAGAUGUAACGGGGCUAAACCAUGCACCGAAGCUGCGGCAGCGACACUGUGUGUUGUUGGGUAGGGGAGCGUUCUGUAAGCCUGCGAAGGUGGCCUGUGAGGGUUGCUGGAGGUAUCAGAAGUGCGAAUGCUGACAUAAGUAACGAUAAAGCGGGUGAAAAGCCCGCUCGCCGGAAGACCAAGGGUUCCUGUCCAACGUUAAUCGGGGCAGGGUGAGUCGACCCCUAAGGCGAGGCCGAAAGGCGUAGUCGAUGGGAAACGGGUUAAUAUUCCCGUACUUGGUGUUACUGCGAAGGGGGGACGGAGAAGGCUAUGUUGGCCGGGCGACGGUUGUCCCGGUUUAAGCGUGUAGGUGUGUGUUCCAGGUAAAUCCGGUUCACUUUAACACUGAGGCGUGACGACGAGGCACUACGGUGCUGAAGCAACAAAUGCCCUGCUUCCAGGAAAAGCCUCUAAGCAUCAGGUAACAUCAAAUCGUACCCCAAACCGACACAGGUGGUCAGGUAGAGAAUACCAAGGCGCUUGAGAGAACUCGGGUGAAGGAACUAGGCAAAAUGGUGCCGUAACUUCGGGAGAAGGCACGCUGACAUGUAGGUGAAGUGAUUUACUCAUGGAGCUGAAGUCAGUCGAAGAUACCAGCUGGCUGCAACUGUUUAUUAAAAACACAGCACUGUGCAAACACGAAAGUGGACGUAUACGGUGUGACGCCUGCCCGGUGCCGGAAGGUUAAUUGAUGGGGUCAGCGCAAGCGAAGCUCCUGAUCGAAGCCCCGGUAAACGGCGGCCGUAACUAUAACGGUCCUAAGGUAGCGAAUUCCUUGUGGGUAAGUUCCGACCCUGCACGAAUGGCGUAAUGAUGGCCCAGGCUGUCUCACCCCGAGACUCAGUGAAAUGAACUCGCUGUGAAGAUGCAGUGUACCGCGGCAAGACGGAAAGACCACCGUGAACCUUUACUAUAGCUUGACACUGAACAUUGAGCCUUGAUGUGUAGGAUAGGUGGGGAGGCUUUGAAGCGUGGACGCCAGUCUGCGUGGAGCGACCUUGAAAUAACCACCCUUUAAUGUUUGAUGUUCUAACGUGGACCCGUGAUCCGGGUUGCGGACAGUGUCUGGUGGGGUAGUUUGACUGGGGCGGUCUCCUCCUAAAGAGUAACGGAGGAGCACGAAGGUUGGCUAAUCCUGGUCGGACAUCAGGAGGUUAGUGCAAUGGCAUAAGCCAGCUUGACUGCGAGUCGUGACGGCGCGAGCAGGUGCCGAAAGCAGGUCAUAGUGAUCCGGUGGUUCCUGAAUGGAAGGGCCAUCGCUCAACGGAUAAAAGGUACUCCGGGGAUAACAGGCUGAUACCGCCCAAGAGUUCAUAUCGACGGCGGUGUUUGGCACCUCGAUGUCGGCUCAUCACAUCCUGGGGCUGAAGUAGGUCCCAAGGGUAUGGCUGUUCGCCAUUUAAAGUGGUACGCGAGCUGGGUUUAGAACGUCGUGAGACAGUUCGGUCCCUAUCUGCCGUGGGCGCUGGAGAACUGAGGGGGGCUGCUCCUAGUACGAGAGGACCGGAGUGGACGCAUCACUGGUGUUCGGGUUGUCAUGCCAAUGGCACUGCCCGGUAGCUAAAUGCGGAAGAGAUAAGUGCUGAAAGCAUCUAAGCACGAAACUUGCCCCGAGAUGAGUUCUCCCUGAGACUUAAAGUCUCCUGAAGGAACGUUGAAGACGACGACGUUGAUAGGCCGGGUGUGUAAGCGCAGCGAUGCGUUGAGCUAACCGGUACUAAUGAACCGUGAGGCUUAACCUUACAACGCCGAAG
rnacentral:rRNA from 1 species